rnacentral:rRNA from 1 species
UACGUAGGGCGCAAGCGUUGUCCGGAAUUAUUGGGCGUAAAGAGCUCGUAGGCGGCCAGUUGCGUCUGCUGUGAAAUCCCGGGGCUCAACCCCGGGCGUGCAGUGGAUACGGGCUGGCUAGAGGCAGGCAGGGGAGAACGGAAUUCCCGGUGUAGCGGUGAAAUGCGCAGAUAUCGGGAGGAACACCGGUGGUGUAGACGGCUCUCUGGACCGUAACU